UUGAGCAAUAGUAGCAAAAUAGCCUUCUGCCCACAAAUGGAUUCAGAUUCAGACUCCCAAUCCGACUAUCCUAAAGAGUCCUCUAUUUCCCCUACUCAUCCUAUGCCCGCUAUUCCCCCUAUUGAGGCCAUUUGGGACUGCAUCAAAGAUCCAAUAGAAGAUCAGAUCAUAGCACAGAUUGCAGCUCAAAUAGAAAGGCAACAAGAAGUGUAUAACGAUGUCCAGUUUCGGCGGAGGUAUCGGAUGAGGCGUCAUUUAUUCCUUCAAAUUGUGCAAGCACUAAGUGAUUGGUCUCCUUACUUCCGUCAAAGAAGUGAUGCUGUUGGUAAGCUAGGCUUCUCGCCCUUGCAUAAAUGCACAGUUGCUAUGUGCAUGUUGGCAUAUGGAACUUGUGCAGACAUGUGGGACGAAAAUCUUAGAAUUGCUGAAACUACAAUUAUUGAAUGCUUGAAUAAAUUCUGUGAAGGAGUAAUAGCAAUCUUUGCCAAGAAAUAUCUUAGGAGGCCUAAUAAUGAUGACAUUCAUCGAUUGCUUCAAGUGGGAGAAGCCCGAGGAUUUCCAGGGAUGUUGGGAAGCCUUGACUGUAUGCAUUGGCAAUGGAAAAAUUGUCCAGUGGCAUAGAAAGGGCAAUUUACUCGUGGUGAUUAUAAAAAGGCUACUGUAAUCCUAGAAGCUGUUGCAUCGCAUGACCUUUGGAUAUGGCAUGCUUUUUUGGUGCUGCUGGAUCAAAUAAUGAUAUCAAUGUGUUGAACCAAUCAACAUUGUUCACAGAAGUUCUGCAAGGAAGAGCUCCUAAAGUUCAGUUCAUGGUUAAUGGCAAUCAGUACAACAUGGGCUACUACCUAACAGAUGGAAUUUAUCCAGAGUGGGCGACAUUUGUGAAAUCAGUGCCUAGGCCAUUAAGUGCGAAGGAUAAAUUAUUUGCAGAUAAAUAGGCUGGGGUAAGAAAAGAUGUGGAAUGUGCAUUUGGUGUCCUACAAGCUCGUUUUGCUAUAAUACGAAACCCAACACGUAUGUGGGAAAGGGAAGCACUUUCUCAAAUUAUGUAUACUUGUAUUAUCUUGCAUAAUAUGAUAGUAGAGGAUGAGCGGGAUUCUUAUGGGAAAAGAAAUGAUUAUGACUAUGAUCAGACAAACUCUGCAGCCUUGGUCAAUUAUUAUCAUGGUCCAAUUAAUGAGUUUGCUAGGAUGCUCGAGAUAAACACUGCAAUUCAUGAUCGGUCCAAGCACCGCAGCCUGAAGGCUGACUUGACAGAGCAUAUAUGGCAACGAUUCGGAAGCAAUCAAGAUCAGGAUACUGAUUAGUCUGUCACCAAAUAAGUUUAGUUCUUGUAACACUUGUUUCUUUUAUGUAUUAUGUAAAACAAAAAUUAUUUUUCUCCAUCAUAUUGUGUACGCAUGUUUCCAAGAUGAAAAAUAAAGUGUAUUGUCUCAUUUAAUUUC